rnacentral:rRNA from 1 species
AACAAACGCUGGCGGCGUGCCUAACACAUGCAAGUCGUACGUGAAAAUCCGCUUCGGUGGAUGAGUAAAGUGGCGCACGGGUGAGUAACACGUGGAUAAUCUGCCCUUUAGUUGGGAAUAACUCAUCGAAAGGUGAGCUAAUACCGAAUAAUGCUGUUGUUGCCUCGGCAAUGCAGCCAAAGAAGGCCUCUAUUUAUAAGCUUUCGCUGAAGGAUGAGUCCGCGUACCAUUAGCUUGUUGGUAGGGUAAUGGCCUACCAAGGCGACGAUGGUUAGCUGGUCUGCGAGGAUGAUCAGCCACACUGGAACUGGAACACGGUCCAGACUCCUACGGGAGGCAGCAGUGAGGAAUCUUGCGCAAUGGGGGAAACCCUGACGCAGCAACGCCGCGUGAGUGAGGAAGGUUUUCGGAUCGUAAAGCUCUGUCGGGUGGAAAGAAAUGUUUGAAGGUUAAUACCCUUCAUACUUGACGGUACCACCAGAGGAAGCACCGGCUAACUCCGUGCCAGCCGCCGCAGUAAUAC